CAUAGAUAUCACGCAGAACUCCGAUUGCGAAGGCAGCAUACCGGCGCUCAACUGACGCUCAUGCACGAAAGCGUGGGUAUCGAACAGGAUUAGAUACCCUGGUAGUCCACGCAGUAAACGAUGAAUACUAACUGUCCGGGCCGAUUGAGGUCUGGUUGGUACAGCGAAAGCGUUAAGUAUUCCACCUGGGGAGUACGCCGGCAACGGUGAAACUCAAAGGAAUUGACGGGGGCCCGCACAAGCGGAGGAACAUGUGGUUUAAUUCGAUGAUACGCGAGGAACCUUACCCGGGCUCAAACGACGGAUGGAUGUCUCUGAAAGGAGGCAGUCCUACGGGACAUCCGUCGAGGUGGUGCAUGGUUGUCGUCAGCUCGUGCCGUGAGGUGUCGGCUUAAGUGCCAUAACGAGCGCAACCCCCAUCGCCAGUUACCAGCAAGUGAAGUUGGGGACUCUGGCGAGACUGCCGGCGCAAGCUGUGAGGAAGGCGGGGAUGACGUCAAAUCAGCACGGCCCUUACGUCCGGGGCGACACACGUGUUACAAUGGCAGGUACAGAGAGAAGCGAUGCGGCGACGCAUAGCGGAACUUCAAAGCCUGUCUCAGUUCGGAUUGGAGUCUGCAACCCGACUCCAUGAAGCUGGAUUCGCUAGUAAUCGCGCAUCAGCCACGGCGCGGUGAAUACGUUCCCGGGCCUUGCACACACCGCCCGUCAAG
rnacentral:rRNA from 1 species